rnacentral:rRNA from 1 species
GAUGAACGCUGGCGGCGUGCCUAAUACAUGCAAGUCGAGCGAACAGACGAUGAGCUUGCUCCUCUGCCGUUAGCGGCGGACGGGUGAGUAACACGUGGAUAACCUACCUAUAAUACUGGGAUAACUUCGGGAAACCGGAGCUAAUACUGGAUAAUAUAUUGAACCGCAUGGUUCAAUAGUUAAAGACGGUUUUGCUGUCACUUAGAGAUGGAUCCGCGUCGCAUUAGCUAGUUGGUAAGGUAACGGCUUACCAAGGCGACGAUGCGUAGCUGACCUGAGAGGAUGAUCGGCCACACUGGAACUGAGACACGGUCCAGACUCCUACGGGAGGCAGCAGUAGGGAAUCUUCCGCAAUGGGCGCAAGCCUGACGGAGCCACGCCGCGUGAGUGAUGAAGGUCUUCGGAUCGUAAAACUCUGUUAUUAGGGAAGAACAAAUGUAUAAGUAACUAUGCACGUUUUGACGGUACCUAAUGAGAAAGCCCCGGCUAACUACGUG